rnacentral:rRNA from 1 species
AUUGAACGCUGGCGGCAGGCCUAACACAUGCAAGUCGAGCGAGCGGCGGACGGGUGAGUAAUGUAUGGGGAUCUGCCUGAUGGAGGGGGAUAACUACUGGAAACGGUAGCUAAUACCGCAUACCAUCAGAUGAACCCAUAUGGGAUUAGCUAGUAGGUGAGGUAACGGCUUACCUAGGCGACGAUCCCUAGCUGGUCUGAGAGGAUGAUCAGCAACAUUGGGACUGGGACACGGCCCAGACUCCUACGGGAGGCAGCAGUGGGGAAUAUUGCACAAUGGGCGCAAGCCUGAUGCAGCCAGUCCGCGUGUAUGAAGAAGGCCUUCGGGUUGUAAAGUACUUUCAGUCGGGAGGCGUUACCGACAGAAGAAGCACCGGCUAACUCCGUGCCAGCCGCCGCGGUAAUUC